rnacentral:tRNA from 1 species
GCGGAAGUGGCGGAAUUGGCAGACGCGCUAGAUUUAGGAUCUAGUGGGCCUAGCCUGUGUGGGUUCGAGUCCCACCUUCCGCACCA